UGGGGAAUAUUGGACAAUGGGCGCAAGCCUGAUCCAGCCAUGCCGCGUGAGUGAUGAAGGCCCUAGGGUUGUAAAGCUCUUUCACCGGUGAAGAUAAUGACGGUAACCGGAGAAGAAGCCCUGGCUAACUUCGUGCCAGCAGCCGCGGUAAUACGAAGGGGGCUAGCGUUGUUCGGAUUUACUGGGCGUAAAGCGCACGUAGGCGGACUAUUAAGUCAGGGGUGAAAUCCCGGGGCUCAACCCCGGAACUGCCUUUGAUACUGGUAGUCUUGAGUUCGAGAGAGGUGAGUGGAAUUCCGAGUGUAGAGGUGAAAUUCGUAGAUAUUCGGAGGAACACCAGUGGCGAAGGCGGCUCACUGGCUCGAUACUGACGCUGAGGUGCGAAAGCGUGGGGAGCAAACAGG
rnacentral:rRNA from 1 species